rnacentral:rRNA from 1 species
UACGGGGGGAGCAAGCGCUGUUCGGAUUUACUGGGCGUAAAGGGCGCGUAGGCGGCCACCGCAAGUCGACUGUGAAAUCUCCGGGCUUAACCCGGAAAGGUCAGCCGAUACUGCGGGGCUAGAGUGCAGAAGGGGCAACUGGAAUUCUCGGUGUAGCGGUGAAAUGCGUAGAUAUCGAGAGGAACACCUGCGGCGAAGGCGGGUUGCUGGGCCGACACUGACGCUGAGGCGCGAAAGCUAGGGGAGCGAACGGG